rnacentral:rRNA from 1 species
UCCCAUUCCGCAAGGAAGUAAGAUCCCUGAAAGAUGAUCAGGUUGAUAGGUCUGAGGUGGAAGUGUGGCGACACAUGGAGCUGACAGAUACUAAUCGAUCGAGGACUUAACCCAUAUU